CAUGCAGUCGAGCGGCAGCACAGAGAAACUUGUUUCUCGGGUGGCGAGCGGCGGACGGGUGAGUAAUGCCUGGGAAAUUGCCCUGAUGUGGGGGAUAACCAUUGGAAACGAUGGCUAAUACCGCAUGAUGCCUACGGGCCAAAGAGGGGGACCUUCGGGCCUCUCGCGUCAGGAUAUGCCCAGGUGGGAUUAGCUAGUUGGUGAGGUAAGGGCUCACCAAGGCGACGAUCCCUAGCUGGUCUGAGAGGAUGAUCAGCCACACUGGAACUGAGACACGGUCCAGACUCCUACGGGAGGCAGCAGUGGGGAAUAUUGCACAAUGGGCGCAAGCCUGAUGCAGCCAUGCCGCGUGUGUGAAGAAGGCCUUCGGGUUGUAAAGCACUUUCAGUAGGGAGGAAGGUGGUGCUGUGAAUAGCAGCAUCAUUUGACGUUACCUACAGAAGAAGCACCGGCUAACUCCGUGCCAGCAGCCGCGGUAAUACGGAGGGUGCGAGCGUUAAUCGGAAUUACUGGGGCGUAAAGCGCAUGCAGGUGGUUUGUUAAGUCAGAUGUGAAAGCCCCGGGCUCAACCUGGGAACUGCAUUUGAAACUGGCAAACUAGAGUACUGUAGAGGGGGGUAGAAUUUCAGGUGUAGCGGUGAAAUGCGUAGAGAUCUGAAGGAAUACCGGUGGCGAAGGCGCCCCUGGACAGAUACUGACACUCAGAUGCGAAGCGUGGGGAGCAAACAGGAUAGAAUACCUGGUAGUCCACGCCGUAACGAUGUCUACUGAGUGUGUCUUGAAACACUGGGCUUCGGAGGCUAACGCG
rnacentral:rRNA from 1 species